rnacentral:rRNA from 1 species
UACGUAGGGGGCAAGCGUUGUCCGGAUUUAUUGGGCGUAAAGAGCGUGUAGGCGGCCUGGAAGGUCAGCUGUGAAAACUCGAGGCUCAACCUCGAGACGUCGGUUGAAACCACCUGGCUAGAGUCCGGAAGAGGAGAGUGGAAUUCCCGGUGUAGCGGUGAAAUGCGCAGAUAUCGGGAAGAACACCCGUGGCGAAAGCGACUUCCUGGACCAAUACUGACGCUCAUGUGCGAAAGCGUGGGGAGCAAACAGG